rnacentral:rRNA from 1 species
AGAGAGUGACGGGCGAUGUGUACACACCUCAGAGCCAACUUCAAUAAAGAAUUUUAUUCUAAAUUUACUACUAAAUCCACCUUAAUAAUAUUUUACAUACAUUAAUCCGUAUAAUUAUAAUUUAUUGUAACCCACUUCUCCCAUACUUAUAAGCUGCACCUUGACCUGAAGUCAUAAAUUUAAAAUUAAUUAGACUAUAUUUUCUAAAAAUAAUCUGACAACGGCGGUAUACAAACUGAAAUACAAAAGUAUGUACAUUUAAACGUGGAAUAUCGAUCCAAGAGCAAGUUCCUCUAGUAAGAAUGAGGUACCGCCAAAUUCUUUAGGUUUCAAUAACUCUACUACCCUAGCAAUAAAUUUAAUAAAGAAUAAUAGGGUAUCUAAUCCUAGUUUAAACCUCUAUUUAUAAAGCUAAUAAAUUUACCAAAGAUUUUUAAUUUAAAAAAAGAAAGAUUUUACCCUUAAUUUUUUAUCAAAAAAAUCCCUUUAAAAUAAAUAUUUACUCAAUUCCACCAAACUAUUUCAUUUAAAUCCUUCGUUUAACC